rnacentral:rRNA from 1 species
ACGAACGCUGGCGGCGUGGAUAAGACAUGCAAGUCGAACGGGAACUUCAGCUGUAGCAAUACAGUUGAAGUUUUAGUGGCGAACGGGUGCGUAACACGUGGGCAAUCUGCCGAGAAGUGGGGGAUAGCUCGCCGAAAGGCGAAUUAAUACCGCAUAUGAUCAGCUAAGACAUCUUAGCGACAUCAAAGCCGGGGCAACCUGGCGCUUUUUGAGGAGCCCGCGGCCUAUCAGCUAGUUGGUGAGGUAACGGCUCACCAAGGCUAUGACGGGUAGCUGGUCUGAGAGGACGACCAGUCACACUGGAACUGAGACACGGUCCAGACACCUACGGGUGCAGCAGUCGAGUAAUUUUUCUCAAUGGGGCAACCCUGAAGGAGCGACGCCGCGUGGAGGAUGAAGG